GUGCCGGCUUUGGCAGUACAUACACAAAAAUUGGAAUAUACAGACGAUAUUAGCAUAGUUUCUAUGCAUGGAUGACAAACAAAUUCAUGAAGCAUUCCAUAUUUUU
ensembl:snRNA U6 U6 spliceosomal RNA